rnacentral:rRNA from 1 species
GACGAACGCUGGGCGGCGUGCUUAACACAUGCAAGUCGAGCGGUAAGGCUCCUUCGGGAGUACACGAGCGGCGAACGGGUGAGUAACACGUGAGUAACCUGCCCCAAUCAUCGGGAUAACCAUUGGAAACGAUGGCUAAUACCGAAUACGACCACCGAAGGCAUCUUCUGGUGGUGGAAAGCUCCGGCGGAUUGGGAUGGACUCGCGGCCUAUCAGCUUGUUGGUGAGGUAAUGGCUCACCAAGGCAACGACGGGUAGCCGGCCUGAGAGGGUGACCGGCCACACUGGGACUGAGACACGGCCCAGACUCCUACGGGAGGCAGCAGUGGGGAAUAUUGGACAAUGGGCGCAAGCCUGAUCCAGCAACGCCGCGUGAGGGAUGACGGCCUUCGGGUUGUAAACCUCUUUCAGUAGGGACGAAGCGAAAGUGACGGUACCUACAGAAGAAGGACCGGCCAACUACGUG